AAUUAAAUAUUAAUGCAUCAAUAUAAUAUGGAUAAUAUGGUUCCAAAGUAUCUACCAGACAACCGUAAAUUGUUUGACUAUUGAUUUA
rnacentral:ncRNA from 1 species